CGACCUGAGAUCAGACUAGAUUACCCGCUGAAUUUAAGCAUAUUAAUAAGCGGAG
rnacentral:rRNA from 1 species